ACUUCACCAGAAAAAGGUCUGCUCGCUAUUUACAAAUUCACUUUUCUUUAAAGCUUCUUCAUAUGACUAGGUCCUGCCGAUAAGUAAUACUCUCAAUUUGUCAUUUGUCUGUAAACUUUUAGGAUCCAAGCUGUCCUGUACGAAGACUGUUACUAAUAAAUAAAAGGCCUCUGGGAAAAGUGCUGAGCGUACGCUGGAUCUAUUUUCAGCUUGCAUCAGCAGCUGCUGCCCCUGGGAUCACAUCUUUACGCAUACUCUACACCAUAUGUAAUCACUCCAGUGCUGCAACCAGUAAGAUAAUGAAAGAGCAUGGCAUAAAUCUAUACUUGAGUGGAAUGCUAAAUGAGAAAAAUAAUACAAAAAGGGGGGAAAUAAACCGCAUUUUCAAGUCAUUAGGAAGAAAGACUUUGACAUAUGAAGUGCUGCAACCAUUAAUAGCACUUAUCAUAUAGAGUGGAGACAAAGAGACAAAUUAAUCAAACUGACAGAACUGGGACAUUUUAUGCUAAUACAGGCUCCUGGGUUUUAGUCUGUAUUCCUCUGCGUCUGGAAAACUGAUACCAUUACAGGGCAGGAAAUUGCAUGAAUAACAUGCAACAGAUCAUAAAAAUUCACACACCAACUGCAGAAACACUGCCAAAAGCUCUGUAAAAACAAGGAUGGAGACCUCAACAGAGAAACUACCAGCAAGUAAUGAAUGCAAAUAAGUCCAGGAAUAUCUCCCAUUCAUGCAUUGUAAUUAACUAUAGGCUUCUC
rnacentral:lncRNA from 1 species